rnacentral:rRNA from 1 species
AUUGAACGCUGGCGGCAGGCCUAACACAUGCAAGUCGAGCGGAGCGGCGGACGGGUGAGUAAUGCCUGGGAAUCUGCCUGGUAGUGGGGGAUAACGUCCGGAAACGGGCGCUAAUACCGCAUACUAUCAGAUGAGCCUAGGUCGGAUUAGCUAGUUGGUGGGGUAAAGGCCUACCAAGGCGACGAUCCGUAACUGGUCUGAGAGGAUGAUCAGUCACACUGGAACUGAGAAACGGGCCAGACUCCUAAGGGAGGCAGCAGUGGGGAAUAUUGGACAAUGGGCGAAAGUCUGACGGGGCAACGCCGCGGGAGGGAUGACGGACUUCGGGUUGUAAAGCUCUGUUAAUCGGGACGCGGUACCGGAAUAGAAAGCCACGGCUAACUACGUGCCAGCCGCCGCGGUAAUUC